AAAUUUCCUUAAUGUGGACAGUGAGCCUGUGGGGCCUGAAGGAGGAAAAAAAACCAACCAACCGGCGGAGACGGGCAUCGUGGGCCACACAGAAUGUGAGCUCCAUCUGGGCAGUUCUUGCCAUAGCCCCGUGCAUGGCACGGGGCCCGGCUCUGGGCUUGGCUCAAGAGGCAUCGCCACGGACAACACAUCUGACCAGGUCUGUGAAAUGCCGGGUUUCCAGGUUCCCAGGAAAGCUGGAGAUGGGUAGAAGGAACUUGGGGUGGAGGUUUGGAGGCCCUGUAAUAUUGCACUCAACUCCCACUGUGAGACGUGGGCUUUCCAAACUUGCUCUCCCCCAACCCCAAAGGUCGAUGGUGAAGAACCAACCACCAAGGGAGCAAACCUAUUUGAAAGUUUCAGGAGAAAAAAAAAAAAAAAAAAAGCCAGGAUCUCUAAAAGGCCUCAGACCUGGAACGAGAGUUCUACAGGCAUCUGGAGAAAGAAAAGGAGACAGUUCUUUUUCAAAGAUGAAAACAGUCUAUCUUAGAUCACAGUCUUAUAGAAUAACAAGAGUCACAUAAACAUAAAGCAUGGGUCAGGCUUCAAAACGGGGCAAAAAAACCCACCUGGGUGGCUCAGUCGGUUAAGCACUGACUUCGGCUCAA